GGCCCUUUUCACCCACGAGCUGGAAUGCUUCCCUGACUAAAAGGUAUGGUGUCUAUAUUGGCAGCUAACAUGGCGAUCUUACAAUCAUCUCGGGUGUUACGGAAGAGAGCGUCAAAUUUCCGGCCGUCAUCCCACUGAUACGACAUGCUCCGGAAAAUUCGCACCAUAUCCAGAUUUGAGUAGCCCUCGCAACAAUCGUUCCCGCCUAGAACGCGAUUCAUUAGGUAUGAAUGCAUUUCUAACAUGCAACUCAUGAUGCAGUUCUUCAUCCGUUAGAUGACCGGUGUUUAUGCAAGA